rnacentral:rRNA from 1 species
GAGUUUGAUCGUGGCUCAGAACGAACGCUGGCGGCGUGCCUAACACAUGCAAGUCGAGCGGCAGCGCGGGGCAACCUGGCGGCGAGCGGCGAACGGGUGAGUAAUGCAUCGGAACGUGUCCAUGUCGUGGGGGAUAGCCCGGCGAAAGCCGGAUUAAUACCGCAUACGCCCGAGAGGGGAAAGUGGGGGACCGCAAGGCCUCACGCGAUUGGGUCGGCCGAUGUCCGAUUAGCUAGUUGGCGGGGUAAAGGCCCACCAAGGCGAUGAUCGGUAGCUGGUCUGAGAGGAUGAUCAGCCACACUGGGACUGAGACACGGCCCAGACUCCUACGGGAGGCAGCAGUGGGGAAUAUUGGACAAUGGGGGCAACCCUGAUCCAGCCAUGCCGCGUGAGUGAUGAAGGCCUUCGGUUGUAAG